GGAAUGUGGCUCAGUGGUAGAAUGUUUGCCUAGCAUGUGCAAGGCCCUGGGUUCAAUCCCCAGUACCA
rnacentral:tRNA from 1 species